GACGUAGGGCGCGAGCGUUGUCCGGAUUUAUUGGACGUAAAGAGCUCGUAGGCGGCUUGUUGCGUCGGCUGUGAAAUCCCAUGGCUCAACUGUGGGCUUGCAGCCGAUACGGGCGGGCUAGAGUUCGGUAGGGGAGACUGGAAUUCCUGGUGUAGCGGUGAAAUGCGCAGAUAUCAGGAAGAACACCAACGGCGAAGGCAGCUCGCUGGGACGGUACUGACGCUGAGACGCGAAAGCGUGGGGAGCGAACAGG
rnacentral:rRNA from 1 species